GACGACGCGCUUCUGGAGGUGUCACCGGACCCCGGAGAGAUAUUUACUGCCGACGAGUGCGUCGUCAAUGCGUCGCCACCCACCCCGGAGCCGACGCAGCAGCCACAAGAACAACAACAACAACAACCGCAACCAACCAAUCCCUUCAGAAACAGAACUGAGCAGAAGCAGUCCUCUACCAGAUGGAAGCUGUGGCUGUCCUCACCAUCACCUCAUCAAAAGUGGACUGGAGACCUGCCCAGGGUGUACCCCGCCUCUCACCCAUAGCCAGCGGGGAUAGGCUCCAGCCCCUCCGCGACCCCACAUACAGGAUUAAGUUCUAGAAGAUGGAUGGAUGUUGAUGACACAGGUCUUCCAAUCUCUAAAUGUGAAGCUGAUCUGGACAUCACCACUAAUUACAUGUUUUGGAAAAAUAUAUGUUCUAAUUUAUUCCAAAUGACAAAAAAA